GGCCUUUGGUUUCCAGGUCCAUAAAGUGGGAAGAGGCUCCACCUGCAGGGCUGUGGUGAGGCUUGGCUGGCACCGGAGGGGGUGUCACAAGCUGAGCCCUCUGAUACCAGAGGCUGGUGGCACCGGCUUAACCCUGAGGGCAGGCCCGCUCUUUCACCCUGGCAACCAAAGGACUCUGGGGGCAGCCCCAGCGGGCUCUCACCCAGCCAAGGGGACCGCCAGGCAUCCCCUUCUGGAGGGCACCGAGACUCCCCACUCCACCAUUCAGAGUAUCACUGGGGGUUGUCUUCAAAGGGGGCACACAGGAGCCGUGGGAUGGUCUGUGAAGCAGCGGCAGGGCAGCCCAGCAUGGUGCCCGCGGCCCCAUCUGCUGAUUAAUCCAUAAUGGGAUUCAAGUGCUUCUUGUCACUCCCUCUCACUGUGGCCUGCCACCAAAAGACGGCCCGACGCCUCCUGCUAAUGAAGUGCCCUCGGGUGAUUGUGCCUGCCUGUCCUUUGGGCCUGGUUCUCUGCAAGGAGCCGGGCUGCCAGCACCACUCUGCACAGACUCCCUGGCCGAGGGCUCCUAGGCUCUGGCUGUGACAGGGCACCGGGACACCUGAGAAAUCCCCACUGGCCCUCAGGACCCAGAGGGCAGGCCAGCAGCCCUGCAUCGAGUCAGGGAGGAGCCUGCGGCAGAUGGGCCUGUGGGUGCUCACUGGCUUCAGUUUCCUGCUCUGACAACCAGGAGCAGGCAGGGCUGGUGCCUCCAAGAGCAGGGCCUGCCUCCAGAAGGGUCCAGGGGACUUCAGAGCCGAAGCAACAUCCUUGGGUUUACAAAUGGCCUUUGGGGAGGGCAGCAGAGACUGGGGUUUCCUCUGACCCAGGGCGGUGCCUGGGCUGUACUGAGGGCUUUCAGGGCGGUGUUUAGGGCCGGCCUCAUCUGUGAUCAGGGGCUCUGGAGGGCUGGGAACCCGUGUGGACUGUGGAACACAUCCAGGCACUUGGCAGGGAGGGAUGAGUGUGCAGAAACCCUGCCCACUGCAGGCUCUGCCAGCUUUACUAUUCUGGGUGCGCAAAAUGGCAUCACUUGGGCCGGUGCAUUUCCAAUAGUUAAAGCGAGAAGCUCGGGUGCGAAGGGUUAAUUGGGCAGUUUCAAAACGACAUCUGUUACCACAGCAGAGAGCAGCUGAGGCCCCAGGACAGGCACCCGGGGUGAUGUGGGUGCCCUGAGUCCUGGCUGGAGGAUUAAGAUGGCUUUUCCUGGAAAAUGUUUCUGUUCAGAGUAGAAAGGACAUUUAAAUACUGGCCCCACUAAUGCAGGUCCCGGUGUUUCAUGUGUCUGACCUGGGGGAGGAAGUGGAUGAUCCUUUCAAUAAGCCAAUCUGAUCGGAUUUGCACAAAUCUUGCUCUUUGCGAUUCUGAAAGGGCCCCAGAAGUUGGUGGGGGGUGAGCAUCAUCCCCUUCAGAUCAUUUCUCCCUCCUCCCUGGCACCCUCUCCACACAGUUUUGAAAAGCUUUUUGAACAGGGUCAGCAGCGGGCCUAGCCCGGGGAGCCCUCUCGUCCUUUCUGGCAACAGCGGCUUCUCCACCCGUAAAUGCAGUCUAGCAGAAGCAGCACACCCCUGCGCCCCCUCCAGCUGCUGCCUCCAGGCCUUCCACCCAGAUUAGGGCACUGGGCUGUGGAAGAGCCUCUGGGCCGCUGGGGAUCAGAAUGAUUUCCUGCAUGGUGAGAUCCCAUAGUGGUGACCACCCACCUCUGAUUGGUUGAAGCAGAGGAGAAAUUGCUGCUUCUGGCAGUUGUCUCAGAGCUGCCAGAGCCAUGGCUCUGAGCACUGCUCCUCAACUGCAGACCUCCUCUGGUCUUACUAGGAUGGCAUAAGCCAGGGGACUGGGAGAGUCUGGGCACUUGCCCUGCUGGGACUUCUGAGAGGGCAGUGAUUGCCCUUGGCUCCUGCCCUGUCAGGGACUCAGACACCCAUCUUGUCACUCAGGAUGCCCUAGAGUGAGGGCUGGGGUCAGGGACAAAUUGCCACGCAGUCUGAGCCUUGCUCCCCCAUGAGGUAGGGGGCAUCCAGACCAUCCUUCUGCUCAAGCCAGAAUUCCAAAAUGGGAUUUUUGUGGAUCCUAGGUGCAGCUGAUCGCUGGCCCCAGCCUGUUUUCCUGCUGGCUCUGUCCCACUUAGGCUCCCUGAGGCCCCCUGCCGAAGGUCCUGGGGCUGGCACCGAACCAGCCAAUUCCCUCGGCAUCCAUCAAGGCUGGGACCAGCCUGGUGUGUUUCCCGUGAUUCACUCUGAUGUCCAGGGCACUGCUGCUCCCAGCUGCUGACCUGUUUGGCCUCCUUCUCCUGACGCGACCUCCUUCGGACGGAUCCCAGAUGGUGACCCGAGGGGCACAGGCCGGGUCCAGCGCUUUGUGGCAGCUCCUUCCUAGGUUCAACAUCAGCAUCUUGAAGCGACCUCAGGAGGUUCCCAGGAGACGUCUGGAUGCCCAGGUGAAAGGGAGUGUGGUAGGCUGAGUAAAGAGCCCUAAGCAUGUCCACAUCCUAAUCCUUGGGGACUGUCAACCUGUUAUCUUCCUAUGGCAAAAAGAAUUUGGCAGGUAUGAUUAAAAAUCCCCAGAUGGGGUCCCACGUGGGCCCUAAAUGAGA